GAUGAACGCUGGCGGCGUGCCUAAUACAUGCAAGUCGAGCGAACAGACUAGGAGCUUGCUCCUCUCACGUUAGUGGCGGACGGGUGAGUAACACGUGGAUAACCUACCUCUAAGACUGGGAUAACUUCGGGAAACCGUAGCUAAUACCGCAUAAUAUAUUAAACCGCAUGGUUCAGUAGUGAAAGACGCUUUUGCUGCCAUUAAUAGAUGGAUCGGCGCCGCUUUAGCAGGUUGUUAAGGUACCGGCUUACCAAGGCAACGAACAGAAGCCGCCCUGGGAGGGUGAUCGACCACACGGGAACGAGAACACGGCCCGACCCCCUAGGGGAGGCGGCAGUAGGGAAUCUUCCGCAAGGGGCGAAAGCCUGACGGAGCAACGCCGCGGAGGUGAGGAAGGUCUUCGGAUCGUAAAACUCGUUGAUUAGGGAGGAACAAAUGUGGAAGUAAAAAUGCACGUCUUGACGGUACCUAAUCAGAAAGCCACGGCUAACUACGUG
rnacentral:rRNA from 1 species